rnacentral:lncRNA from 1 species
AGAUUAACCCAAUAAAUUUCAUUCACUCCGCAUACUCAAUCCUAUAGGCACCCUUUUAAUUCUUCAAUCACAGACAUAACUUCGAUUUUACAAAACAGUCAAGAGUAAUCACACCCACUUCAUUAAAAAUCCCGAUUCACCAUUACAACACCAACUUCAGCAACGAUUGCCUCAGUCUUCUCAAAACCCUAUGAAGAAAAAAA